AUGGACCGAGUCCAUGUGCACCAAACCCCUUCUUUCCCUUCCCCGCACCACAGAUCGCUCACGUCACGGCCAGAAGGACAAAGCUGCGCAAAACCCUCCCACCUCUCCACCGCCAGAAGCAAGAUGCUCCGACGCCUCUCCGGCGCCGUCGCGGCGCCCCUCCGACGCUGCCUCUGCACGGCGUCCUCGCGCCCUCCCUGGGCCCUGACCUACAGGAUGGCGGCGCUGGGCGCGUCGUCGCCGGCCGCGCGCGCGUCCUUGGACCUCCACGAGCCCCCCUGCGUCACCCAGCUCUCCGUCCCCGCCCACCUGGCCGACGGCAUGGACCUGGCCGCCGCAAGCAUCCAGGCCGCGAGCAGCGACGGGCUCCUCCUCCUCGACUUCGCCGACACCGGCAACUGGCCCGAGGCCAUCCGCGGCUGCGGUGGCAGCAUCACAGCGAUGCCCGGACUGGCGGCGUGCGCCGCCGCCGUCGAUCCGGGCGUCCGGCGCUUCGUCUGCAACCCUCUUAGCGGCCAGCUGUUCCGCCUCCCCGUCCCCAGCAUGGACGCCGCGCUGACGACCACACCCUUCGGCCUGCUCACCCAAUCCGACGGCUCCGACGGCCCGCCUGACAGGUUAGUGGUCGCCCAACUCUGCCUCCGGGCAAGGGACGGCCAGAUGGUCGUGCGCCGCUUUCGGUCCGAGACAGGGGAGUGGGACGAGCCGCCGCUGUUCGUCCCGUCCGCGGCCCCGGCUUGGCGCCCAAUGCCGAACCACGAGGUGGUGGCAUUCGGCGACCGGCUGUGGUGGGUCGACCCUUUCUUUGGUGUCUUCUCCGUCGAUCCAUUCAGCGACCGGCCGGAGCAUGGCUUCGUCGCGCUGCCGCGCCCGCUGCCCAACUUUGACAUCGACGCGCCGCUCAUGCUGUUCCGGCUCUUGGGUGUCAGCGAGGGGAAGCUGCGCUAUGUCGAAUUGACCACUAAGGAGCCGUUUAUGCUCUACUCCUUCUCGCUCGACGACGAGGGGUCCUCCUGGAAGCUAACACAUGAGAAAAGACUGAACCUGGUCUUGUCUGACAAAUCCAUACCUAGGGAAUGUGAAAUGCCGUGGAUUUCUGCAAUUGAUCCAUUCAAUGCCAGCAUUUUCUAUUUCACACACGGUGACCUUGUUUGUGAACUCGACAUUGAUAAGGGGGAGACUGGGAGCAGUUCUUUUCCAGACAGCAUCACAUUCCGGAGCUACAGCUCUGCUUUCUUUGUGCCUGUAAUGCUCCCAGCAUGGAUUGAAUCAUACAACCUCCCGUGUACAGGAACACUUUCGAGAAAGGCGACCAAUGGAACGAGGAAGACUUUGGCAGACAUGCUGGUUCGUGUUGACUGUUGA
rnacentral:rRNA from 1 species